GGGAGGAGGCUCUUGGGUUGUAAACCUCUUUUCUCAGGGAAGAAGCUCUGACGGUACCUGAGGAAUCAGCCUCGGCUAACUCCGUGCCAGCAGCCGCGGUAAUACGGAGGAGGCAAGCGUUAUCCGGAAUUAUUGGGCGUAAAGCGUCCGCAGGUGGCGAUUCAAGUCUGCUGUCAAAGCACGGGGCUUAACUCCGUUAAGGCAGUGGAAACUGAAUAGCUAGAGUGCCGUAGGGGUAGAGGGAAUUCCCGGUGUAGCGGUGAAAUGCGUAGAGAUCGGGAAGAACAUCGGUGGCGAAAGCGCUCUACUGGACGGCAACUGACACUCAGGGACGAAAGCUAGGGGAGCGAAUGGGAUUAGAUACCCCAGUAGUCAA
rnacentral:rRNA from 1 species